GCGGCCAUAGAUUAGCUGGGAGAUCGUCAGACUGAAGAUCUGAAGGUCGUGUGUUCGAGUCACACUGGCCGCA
rnacentral:tRNA from 13 species